ncrna:Vibrio cholerae HE-16 RT-12 RNA
UAACAUGACGCGGCUAGAGUUUUAGGACUCGUGGAUGGUUGUUUUAACAACUUGGUUAAGCCGAGGUAAGGCGUGAGGAAUUGCCGCAGUUCUAAGUCUGCCUCGGUUUUGCUAG